rnacentral:tRNA from 1 species
GCGCUCGUAGCUCAAUUGGAUAGAGCAACGGCCUUCUAAGCCGUAGGCUACAGGUUCAAGUCCUGUCGGGCGUACCA